ACUAGCAGUAAGAGUUUGAUCAUGGCUCAGAACGAACGCUGGCGGCAGGCUUAACACAUGCAAGUCGAACGCAUCCUUCGGGGUGAGUGGCAGACGGGUGAGUAACACGUGGGAACGUGCCCUUCAGUUCGGGAUAACCCAGGGAAACUUGGGCUAAUACCGGAUACGUCCUUAGGGAGAAAGAUUUAUCGCUGAAGGAUCGGCCCGCGUCUGAUUAGCUAGUUGGUGGGGUAAUGGCCUACCAGGGCGACGAUCAGUAGCUGGUCUGAGAGGAUGAUCAGCCACACUGGGACUGAGACACGGCCCAGACUCCUACGGGAGGCAGCAGUGGGGAAUAUUGGACAAUGGGCGCAAGCCUGAUCCAGCCAUGCCGCGUGAGUGAUGAAGGCCCUAGGGUUGUAAAGCUCUUUCGGCGGGGACGAUAAUGACGGUACCCGCAGAAGAAGCCCCGGCUAACUUCGUGCCAGCCGCCGCGGUAAUUC
rnacentral:rRNA from 1 species